AGAGUUUGAUCCUGGCUCAGAAUGAACGUUGGCGGCGUGGAUUAGGCAUGCAAGUCGAACGAGUCUCUGGGGGGUAACUCCUAGAGGAAAGUGGCGAAAGGGGCAGUAAUGUAUGGGUAACCUACCUUGAGGUCUGGGAUAGCCAUUCUAACGGAUGGGUAAUACUGGACGGCCUGAAUUGUCGGCAUCGAUGACUUAGUAAAGGUUACGCCUCGAGAGGGGCCCAUAUGAUAUUAGCUAGUUGGCGAGGUAAUGGCUCACCAAGGCAAAGAUGUCUAGCGGGUGUGAGAGCACGACCCGCGUCAUUGGCACUGAGACACUGGCCAAACUCCUACGGGAGGCUGCAGUCGAGGAUCUUCGGCAAUGGACGAAAGUCUGACCGAGCAACGCCGCGUGUGCGAUGAAGGCCUUCGGGUUGUAAAGCACUGUCGAGGGGAAACAAGCCGUAAGGUUGAGUGACCCCUGGAGGAAGCACGGGCUAAGUUCGUGCCAGCAGCCGCGGUAAGACGAACCGUGCAAACGUUAUUCGGAAUCACUGGGCUUAAAGGGCGCGUAGGCGGGUAAUCAAGUCAAUGGUGAAAUCCUCCAGCUUAACUGGAGAAGUGCCUUUGAUACUGGUUGUCUAGAGGGAGGUAGGGGCAUGUGGAACUUCAGGUGGAGCGGUGAAAUGCGUAGAUAUCUGAAGGAACGCCAGUGGCGAAAGCGAUGUGCUGGACCUCUUCUGACGCUGAGGCGCGAAAGCUAGGGGAUCAAACGGGAUUAGAUACCCUGGUAGUCC
rnacentral:rRNA from 1 species